CACGUAGGAGGCGAGCGUUGUCCGGAAUCAUUGGGCGUAAAGGGUGCGUAGGCGGCGUGGUAAGUCAGAUGUGAAAUCCCGGGGCUCAACCCCGGAACUGCAUCCGAUACUGCCAUGCUCGAGUGAUGGAGAGGUAGCUGGAAUUCUUGGUGUAGCAGUGAAAUGCGUGGAGAUCAAGAGGAACACUCGUGGCGAAAGCGAGCUACUGGACAUUUACUGACGCUGAGGCUCGAAGGCCAGGGUAGCGAAAGGG
rnacentral:rRNA from 1 species